rnacentral:rRNA from 1 species
UACGUAGGGGGCAAGCGUUGUCCGGAUUUAUUGGGCGUAAAGCGCGUGUAGGCGGCCAGGUAGGUCCGUUGUGAAAACUCGAGGCUCAACCUCGAGACGUCGACGGAAACCAUCUGGCUAGAGUCCGGAAGAGGAGGAGUGGAAUUCCUGGUGUAGCGGUGAAAUGCGCAGAUAUCAGGAAGAACACCCGUGGCGAAGGCGGCU